rnacentral:rRNA from 1 species
AACGCGAAGAACCUUACCCGGGCUUGAACUGCAGGUGACCAUCCACGAAAGUGGACUUCCGCAAGGACGCCUGUAGAGGUGCUGCAUGGCUGUCGUCAGCUCGUGUCGUGAGAUGUUGGGUUAAGUCCCGCAACGAGCGCAACCCUCGUUCGCUGUUGCCAUCAGGUCAAGCUGGGCACUCUGCGGAGACUGCCGGUGACAAACCGGAGGAAGGUGGGGAUGACGUCAAGUCAGCAUGGCCUUUAUGUCCGGGGCUACACACGUGCUACAAUGGCCGGUACAAACCGUUGCGAUCCCGCGAGGGGGAGCUAAUCGGAGAAAGCCGGUCUCAGUUCGGAUCGCAGGCUGCAACUCGCCUGCGUGAAGUCGGAAUCGCUAGUAAUCGCGGAUCAGCACGCCGCGGUGAAUACGUUCCCGGGUCUUGUACACACGC